rnacentral:lncRNA from 1 species
ACAUGGAGAAAUUGCUCUCGAGUACUCGUCUUCCACUGCUGAUGUACUCCAAAGAAGCUGCCACAUCUAUCCGAAGAACAGAUAAGGCAAGCGAAAAUGAUACCAGCAGCAUGUGUAGACAACGUGCAGAAGAAACAAGCAGAGAAGAAUGCAGCUUGCACAAUCAUCCCAGCGGAAGGAGUCUGAGAUGAAGAACUAGAGAAGCUGCCACAUCUGCUUGGAGAACAAAUAAGGAAUUGAGCCUGCACAAUCAACUCGAGAGCAGAAGGAAUCUGAGUUGAAGAACUCAAGAAACUUCAACAACAUCGCAAAGAGCAAAGCUCCGCCGUACAAUAUCAUAAAAUCAUCACUUGCAAGUGAAAAGCUAAGUGUCACCCUGUUCAAGAGGAAAGCUGUGGAAAGUCAACAAGCACGACCAAUGAUUACUUAUUAGUUUUAUUCAUUAUCUUUUAUC